rnacentral:rRNA from 1 species
UACGGGGGGGGUAAGCGUUGUUCGGAAUUACUGGGCGUAAAGGGCUCGUAGGCGGCCAACUAAGUCGGACGUGAAAUCCCUCAGCUUAACUGGGGAACUGCGUCCGAUACUGGAUGGCUUGGAUUUGGGAGAGGGAUGCGGAAUUCCAGGUGUAGCGGUGAAAUGCGUAGGUAUCUGGAGGAACACCGGUGGCGAAGGCGGCAUCCUGGACCAAUAUUGACGCUGAGGAGCGAAAGCUAGGGGAGCAAACGGG